rnacentral:rRNA from 1 species
UACGGAGGGUGCAAGCGUUAUCCGGAAUCACUGGGUUUAAAGGGUGCGUAGGCUGCUGCAUAAGUCAGGGGUGAAAGUUUGUCGCUUAACGAUAGAAUUGCCUUUGAUACUGUGCGGCUUGAAAUUAGGUGAGGUUGUCGGAAUGUGACAUGUAGCGGUGAAAUGCGUUGAUAUGUCAUAGAACACCGAUUGCGAAGGCAGCUGGCUAACCUAAAUUUGACGCUGAGGCGCGAAAGCGUGGGUAGCAAACAGG